rnacentral:rRNA from 1 species
UACGUAGGGGGCUAGCGUUGUCCGGAUUUACUGGGCGUAAAGGGUUCGUAGGUGGCCAACUAAGUCAGACGUGAAAUCCCUCAGCUUAACUGGGGAACUGCGUCUGAUACUGGUUGGCUUGAGUGCAGGAGAGGAACGCGGAAUUCCAGGUGUAGCGGUGAAAUGCGUAGAUAUCUGGAGGAACACCGGUGGCGAAGGCGGCGUUCUGGACUGCAACUGACACUGGGGAACGAAAGCCAGGGUAGCAAACGGG